UAAUGCACGGGCUGAUAUUAU
ensembl:piRNA 21ur-2479 ncRNA